rnacentral:rRNA from 1 species
CCUACGGGAGGCAGCAGUAGGGAAUCUUCCACAAUGGACGAAAGUCUGAUGGAGCAACGCCGCGUGAGUGAAGAAGGGUUUCGGCUCGUAAAGCGCUGUUGGUAGUGAAGAAAGAUAGAGGUAGUAACUGGCCUUUAUUUGACGGUAAUUACUUAGAAAGUCACGGCUAACUACGUGCCAGCAGCCGCGGUAAUACGUAGGUGGCAAGCGUUUUCCGGAGUUAUUGGGCGUAAAGCGAGUGCAGGCGGGUCAAUAAGUCUGAUGUGAAAGCUUUCGGCUCAACCGGAGAAUUGCAUCAGAAACUGUUGAACUUGAGUGCAGAAGGGGAGAGUGGAAGUCCAUGUGUAGGGGUGGAAUGCGUAGAUAUAUGGAAAAACACCAGUGGCGAAGGCGGGUCUCUGGUCUGCAACUGACGCUGAGGCUCGAAAGCAUGGGUAGCGAACAGGAUUAGAUACCCCUGUAGUC